ensembl:lncRNA
UCCAAGGCCCCAGAGUACACCUUCCAUUUGGUGGAUUGCCUGAGCAAACAAUUCAUCAAAAGAAACCAACAAGCACCAGUCUAAGGAGGCCUCCUCUGUAACAGGCAGGCUUGGGAGCCAAACCAAGUGAAAGACCCGCUCGAAAUGCCCCUGAGCCCCCUGCCCCGAAGCUGCCGGGGCCUCCCAAGCCUUCACCCCGGCAGGGCUCGCGCCCCCGGCCCGCCCCGCCUGGCACCGAGCCUCGGGGCUGGGGCCGAGCAACGAGCACCAGAUGGGCAGGCCCGAGAACGAGCACCAGGUAGGCUGGGGCCGAGCAACGAGCACCAGGUGGGCCGGCACGAGGGCGAGCACCAGGUGGGCCAGCACGAGAACGAACACCAAGGGAGCCGGCCUGGAGCCCUGCCCCUGAGCCCCGCCCGAUGAGAAACACUCCGUCCCAAGGUCUCCGCCCCCAAGGUCAGCCAUCUGGACGCGGAGGGAGGGGGAAUUGAGUCUGUUGUACCAGACACCAGACCUUGAGAAUAUGCUGAUCUGGAAUGGCUCUGUGUCUUAUUUGAACCAUCCAAUAGAAAUGAUUCUGUAUUUCGCCUCAUUUGAAAGACUCUGUGUUUCACCUCAUUUGAAUAACUCUGUACUUUGCCUCAUUUGAAUAACCCUGUAUAGCGCCUCAUAUACAUUGACCAAUGGGAAUAGCUCUGUACAAUGCCUCAUUAGAAUUAUCCAAUAGAAUCCCUGCUCCUAGCUUGCGCCUUUUUCCCUAUAUAAGGACCCCUUUCCCUUGGCUCGGCGCGCUUAGCCACACAAAGGCUAAGUCGCCCCGGGUACCCGCGUCUCCAAUAAAGCCUCUUGUUUUUUUUGCAUCCAGUUCGUGGCCUCGCUGAUUCCUGGGUGUGUGAGUCUCCCUCUACAAAAGUACCUCUUCGGGGUCUUUCAUUUGGGGGCUCGUCCGGGAUUAGAGACCCCCGCCCAGGGACCACCGACCCACGUUUGGGAGAUUACGAGGCACCUCGGUUCCCGCACCUGGACCAGUGAGCGAGAUGCUCAGAUAUGAAACCUGCUGCCUGCCAGAACCUGGCCGAGACUGCGAGACUGUGGACAAAGCUGCUGGACGCUGGAAAAUUGAUUGUACCCCUUUGCCUAGACAAAACAAGGUCAGUCUUUUCCAUGUCCCUCUUCCACAGAGAGAAAAUAAAACCUCUCACAAUAUAGGCCUGGCGAAGAUUGCUGUUCUUUGAGACAGCUGCCUCCAACGAUAAUGGAGAAACUUGGGUUUGGCUAACUGUAUAUGGACUUGCUUCUAACUGGCUUCUGUCAUUUUUUUAGUAGAUUCGGAUAAAAUAUACCCUUCUCAGAUCUCUGAAAUAUUACUGGUUGUCAGCUUGACAGCAUCAGACAGUCAGAUCCACUAUAGACUAGUCAGUAUGUUAGCUGAUAAAAUAAUGACUAUCUACUGUUCAGGCACAAGCUCAAGGUUUUUAAGUUUAUUUUGGUUGUCAUCUAAGUACAAACUUAAAGGGCUUUUCAUCAGGCCAAAGGCACCUCUGUCCAAUCCAUACCCGGUUCUCUGGACAGAGGAGAAAUGUACAUGCUUAUAGCCCAAAUCUGUAGUUCUUGCUAGGACUCAAAGUUAUAAAUAUGUUCUUGCUGUUUGAACAGAUAUCCAGAUAUCUGCUUUUUCUGCACUGUGGGCUUCUAUAAAUAAGUUUUAACCUCUGUUCCUAGUUUAAAUAUGUCUUAAACAGGUUUCUGCUUCUGACAGACAUCUGAAUAUCAGUUGCGGACUACUAGCUGUCCCAAGUAGACGGCGAGCCCUGGACUUGCUAUGGAUGUGAACCAGUCUGCUGAUGUGGACACCCCCUAUCUCUACAACAGUGUCUGCUAACCAGAAGCCCCUGAUGGAUUCCCCAUUGCCUAAAAUUCCUUUUUGCUUUUGACUAGCAUUUCAACCUUCUGGGGUCCCUAACUUCGUCCCAAAGUCAGCAGGAAGCAGUUUGGAAAGAAAUUUCGCCGUCCAUUUUCCCUGGUUGGAAUGCUAAGUCAAAAGGAACUCCCUUGCAUGGGGAUGCGAAACGACAGGGGAUGCUCACUAGAAGCCUUCAUCCUCAUGGGACAAGAUUCAGGUAACCAGAGGAUGGCAAAAGGGCUCCACCGGUAUCACCUCUAUGCCUCUCCUUAUUUCCUUUACAGCGUAUUAGGGAAAUCAACCCGAUAUAAGAGGGAGC